UGCACACAUGACUAUGAGUCGCUUUGGAUAAAAGCAUCUGCUAAAUGGUAUAUA
rfam:Salmo salar isolate Sally breed double haploid chromosome ssa15, whole genome shotgun sequence.